CAGUGAUUUAGAUUUAACAGCUGCGGUAUUUUAACUGUACUAAGGUAGCAUAAUAAUUUGCCUUAUAAAUUGGGGCUAGAAUGAAUGGUUUGACGAAGGUUUAACUGUCUCUAUUUUAUUUAUUAGAAAUUAAUUUUUUAGUGAGAAAGCUAAAAUAUUUUAAAGGGACGAGAAGACCCUAUUGAGCUUGAAUUUAAUUAUGUAAUAAUAAUUACAUUUUGAUAAAUUUUAAUUGGGGUGAUUAAGGAAUAAAAAUUUAUAUAUUAUAUUAAUAACUUCCUUAAUUAAAAAGUGCUGUUGGGUUAAGUAACCAAUAAUAUUGCUUAUAAUAAAGUUACCAUAGGGAUAACAGCGUAAUUUAUUUAGAGAGUUCUUAUUGAAAAAUAAGAUUGCGACCUCGAUGUUGGAUUAAAGUAACCUUAAGGUGCAGAAGCUUUAUUGGGUAAAUCUGUUCGAUUUUUAAAACUUUACGUGAUCUGAGUUCAGACCGGA
rnacentral:rRNA from 1 species